rnacentral:rRNA from 1 species
ACGGGGUUAUUCUUUACACCGAGUGUUUCACCAAUCACGCUGGGAAAGCCAGCGGCAAGCGCGACGGCAAAAGCCGGAGGCGGGAGAAAAACCGGCCUCGCGCUUCACGCUUUUAAAAAGCGACUAACACCACAGAGUGGUGGCGGGAGCUUUGACAAAACCGGAUGGGUGAAGGAUUGGGUGUAAAGAAUAAUCUAGUGGCGGACGGGUGAGUAACACGUGAGCAACCUGCCGAGGUCUGGGGGAUAACGUCUGGAAACGGACGCUAAUACCGCAUAACAUUAUCGAGUGGCAUCGCUUGAUAAUCAAAGGAGCAAUCCGGACUUUGAUGGGCUCGCGCCCGAUUAGGUAGUUGGUGAGGUAACGGCCCACCAAGCCUGCGAUCGGUAGCCGGACUGAGAGGUCGAACGGCCACAUUGGGACUGAGACACGGCCCAGACUCCUACGGGAGGCAGCAGUGGGGAAUAUUGCACAAUGGGGGAAACCCUGAUGCAGCGACGCCGCGUGAGUGAAGACGGUCUUCGGAUUGUAAAGCUCUGUUGCAGAGGACGAAGUAUGACGGUACUCUGUGAGGAAGCCACGGCUAACUACGUGCCAGCAGCCGCGGUAAUACGUAGGUGGCAAGCGUUGUCCGGAAUUACUGGGUGUAAAGGGAGCGUAGGCGG